GAUUAAACUAAAGAGUUUGAUCCUGGCUCAGAUUGAACGCUGGCGGCAUGCCUUACACAUGCAAGUCGAACGGUAGAGUAGCAAUACUCGAGAGUGGCGAACGGGUGAGUAAUAUGAGUGGCGAACGGGUGAGUAAUAUAUCGGAACGUGCCCAGUCGUGGGGGAUAACGUAGAGAAAUUUACGCUAAUACCGCAUACGAUCUAAGGAUGAAAGCGGGGGACUCGCAAGGGCCUCGCGCGAUUGGAGCGGCUGAUAUCAGAUUAGGUUGUUGGUGAGGUAAAAGCUCACCAAGCCGACGAUCUGUAGCUGGUUUGAGAGAACGACCAGCCACACUGGGACUGAGACACGGCCCAGACUCCUACGGGAGGCAGCAGUGGGGAAUUUUGGACAAUGGGCGAAAGCCUGAUCCAGCAAUGCCGCGUGCAGGAAGAAGGCCUUCGGGUUGUAAACUGCUUUUGUACGGAACGAAACGGUCCUUUCUAAUAAAGAGGGCUAAUGACGGUACCGUAAGAAUAAGCACCGGCUAACUACGUGCCAGCAGCCGCGGUAAUACGUAGGGUGCGAGCGUUAAUCGGAAUUACUGGGCGUAAAGCGUGCGCAGGCGGUU
rnacentral:rRNA from 1 species